GCAUAUCAAUAAGCGGAGGAAAAGAAAAUAACAAUGAUUCCCCUAGUAACUGCCAGUGAAGAGGGACAAGCUCAAAUUUUAAAUCUAUCGGGUUUUACCUGAUCCAGUUGUAAUUUGAAGAAGCGUUUUCUGCGUAUUUGGUCCGCCUAAGUCCUAUUGAAUGAGGCAUCAUGGAGGGUGAUAAUCCCGUCCGGUUGAUCAUUUGCGUUUUACGAUACGCUUUCUAAGAGUCAAGUUGUUUGGGAUUGCAGCUUAAAAUGGGAGGUAAAUUUCUCCUAAGGCUAAAUAACGGCGAGAGACCGAUAGCGAACAAGUACCGUGAGGGAAAGAUGAAAAGAACUUUGAAAAGAGAGUUAAACAGUACGUGAAAUUGUUGAAAGGGAAACGAUUGAAGCCAGUCGUACCUUCGGGUAAUUAGCCUUUUCGGGUGCGAUUCUGUGGGGUUUGAGGAGCUUAACACCUUCAUGCUUUGCAUAUUCGUGCUCUUGGGUGUACUUGCCCGUGUGGUUGGUUAACAUCAAUUUCGGGCACCAUAAAAUGGCUGGAGGAAUGUAGCUUCGAUCUUGUAUUGAAGUGUUAUAGCCUUCGGUAGAUGUGGUGAUCGAGAUUGAGGAUUGCAACGGAUACCUUUCGGGGCUACCUGUCUGGUCUCUGAUCG
rnacentral:rRNA from 1 species